UUAAAGAAAAGUUUAAUUUGGUUUUAAGUGUAAAUGGAUUAUUUAAUAAAAUCAUUUUUAUUUAUUUAUGUUUUUGUAUAGGUUAUAGAUUAAAUUUAUGGAUUGAUAGUUUAUUUGUAUUGUGAGAGGUUAUUGAAAUAGUGUGAAAAAUUUUAUUUUUUGGGAAGUAGUUUAAUUUAAAUGUACCUUGUGUAUCAGGGUUUAUUAAAAAAUUUUUAAUUAUUUAAAUUUUCUCGAUUUGAAGAGGGCUAAGGAAUUUUGUUAGUUAUUGUGGAAUAAAUAUUAAUGAAAAUUUUUUAGAAAUGAAACGUUAUUCGUUCUUCAAGGUAUCUAGUUUUUUAAGAAAUGAAUUUAAUUCAGCUGGUUGUGUUAAUUAGUUUAAUUUAUUAAUUUAAUUUAUUUAAUCAGUAAUAUUUUGGGGGAUAAGCUUUGAGAUAUAAUCUAAAAAUUGGUUUUUAAUUUAAGAAAUUUAGUAGGCUUAGAAUUAGCUAUUUAAAAUGGUGUUAUAACCUUAUUUCUGUAACUAAAAUUUUUUUUGAGGUUUUGGAUUGUUUAUUAAAAUUUGUUAUUUAAUUUAUUGUUAAUAGUAAUAAUGAUGAAAUUAGUAUAGAUUUGAUUUGUAGUAAUUUAUAGUUUUUAUGAGAGGUUAUAUUAAGGAAUUAGGCAAAUUUACGCUCGCCUGUUUAACAAAAACAUGUCUUCAUGUAGUGAAUAUGAAGUCUGACCUGCCCACUGAAAAUAAUUUGAAGGGCCGCAGUAUCUUGACUGUGCAAAGGUAGCAUAAUCAUUAGUCUUUUAAUUGGAGGCUAGAAUGAAUGGUUGGACGAGGUGUAAACUGUCUCAGUAUAAUUGUAUUUAGAAUUUAACUUUUGAGUUAAAAGGCUCAAAUUUUAUUAAAGGACGAGAAGACCCUAUAGAGCUUUAUAUUUAAUAUUUAUAAUAUGUUUGUAGAAAAAAUAUAUGUAUUAUUUUGGAAGUAUUUUGUUGGGGUGACAGGAAGAUUAAUUAAACUCUUUUUAUUGUUUAACAUUGAUUUAUGAUUAGUUGAUCCAUUAUUAGUGAUUAUAAGACUAAGUUACCUUAGGGAUAACAGCGUAAUUUUUUUUGAGAGUUCUUAUCGACAAGAAAGAUUGCGACCUCGAUGUUGGAUUAAAAGUAAUCUUGGGUGCAGAAGUUCAAGGUUUAGGUCUGUUCGACCUUUAAAUUUUUACAUGAUCUGAGUUCAGACCGGCGUAAGCCAGGUCGGUUUCUAUCCUUAAUUUUUUAUGAUGUUUUAGUACGAAAGGACCAGACAUUGGGAUUAAUUCUUGUAAAUAUUGAUUUAAAUUAAUGAA
rnacentral:rRNA from 1 species